rnacentral:rRNA from 1 species
AUGCUGCUCACUGUCGUUUUGGUCGUUUUUCUGUUUUUUGUUGUUACGAAAAAGGGAGGUGGAAAGUCAGUGCCAAAUGCAUGGCAAUCCUUGGUCGAGCUUAUUUAUGAUUUUGUGCUGAACUUGGUAAACGAACAAAUAGGUGGUCUUUCCGGAAAUGUGAAACAAAAGUUUUUCCCUCGCAUCUCGGUCACAUUUACUUUUUCGUUAUUUCGUAAUCCCCAGGGUAUGAUACCCUUUAGCUUCACAGUGACAAGUCAUUUUCUCAUUACUUUGGCUCUUUCAUUUUCCAUUUUUAUAGGCAUUACGAUCGUUGGAUUUCAAAGACAUGGGCUUCAUUUUUUUAGCUUCUUAUUACCUGCGGGAGUCCCACUGCCAUUAGCACCUUUCUUAGUACUCCUUGAGCUAAUCUCUUAUUGUUUUCGUGCAUUAAGCUUAGGAAUACGUUUAUUUGCUAAGAUGGCCGGUCAUAGUUUAGUAAAGAUUUUAAGUGAGUUUGCUUGGACUAUGCUAUUUCUGAAUAAUAUUUUCUAUUUCAUAGGAGAUCUUGGUCCCUUAUUUAUAGUUCUAGCAUUAACCGGUCUGGAAUUAGGUGUAGCUAUAUCACAAGCUCAUGUUUCUACGAUCUCAAUUUGUAUUUACUUGAAUGAUGCUACAAAUCUCCAUCAAAAUGAGUCAUUUCAUAAUUGA